GGGCGCAGGCGCGGAGCGCGCCGCGGCGUCCCGGUUGCUAUGGCGGCGCGUGGAAGAGGGAGGGGGAAGGGCGGCAGCCGCGGGGGCCGCCGGGAGCGUGGUGCUUUGUGUGGUGGCGGGCGGGAGGUGACCGUUAACUGUCGUUAACUGCCGCCUUCUCCCCCAGGUGCCGCCCGCCGGCAUGAGCAGCGGCGCCCGGACCCACGGCAGGAGGAGGAGGAGGGCCGUCCGCCUCGUCCCGCCGUCCUCUGCCAGCUCCGAGGAGCUCCUCAGUCCCUCCGGCAGCUCCCCGCUCUCUUCUGCGUCCUGCCCCAGCUCCCCGAGCGGCGAGGAGGAGGAGGAGCGGGCGGCGGCCUCUCGGCGAGGCGAUAGGAAGGCUGAAGACUCUGACAUAGCAGAAGGGAAAAAAGAGUCACCUUUGAAAGAUAACCUUUCACCAUGGGAAGAAUGGUUCAUUGGAAAAGAGAAGGAACUACGUGCCCGCUUACAAGCUAGAGCUGCAGAGGAAACGAAUGUACAGCUUGAGAAGAUGAAGCAAAAGCUAGAGUGUGAAAGGAGAAAAAGAAGAGCUGAAGAGAAACAUAAGGAGUGGGUCCAAAAAAAAAGAGAGGAGGAAAGAAGGGAAAGGGAACGAAAGCUGAGCAAAGAAAUGGCAGAAAAAGCCACAAGGGAACUAGAAAAGUUGCAGUUACAAGAAAAGGCUGAAGUGAAGUAUAAAGAAUGGUUAAAGAAGAAGAGAGCUGAAGAGGCAGAAAAGAGGAAAAAAGAGAAGGAAAAAGAAAGAGAAAAGGAAGCUGAGCUACAGGAGAAGAAAACAAGAUCAGAGAAGAUCUUUAAGGAAUGGCUACAUAAUGCUAGAAAUAAACCACGCCCUGUUUUAAAUGGUUAUGGCUUUCCAUGUGGGAAGACUACAGGGUGUGCUGAUGGAAAUUUGUAUCCAGUUCCAGCAUAUUGUAACCCCAUUCCUUGGAAACCUGUACAUGUGCCUCCUCCAAAGGAAGACAGUGUUCUUACCAUGAAGAAGAGACCUGUAUCUUGUCAGUCCAAUAACAGGUCCCAGAGUCCCGUGGAAAAAACUGGAGCAAGGAAGACAACCUUGGUGUGGAGGAGGAUCAGUUUACAAAAUAUCUAAACAAGCUGGAUAUAUAGAGAUCCCUGGGAUCUGACAGGGUGCACCUGUGAAUGUUGAGAGAGGUGGCAAUUAUUGUAAGGGUACUCUAAAUUAUCUUUGAGAGGUCAUGAUGAUCAGGAGAAAAUCUUGAGGACUAGAAGAAAGCAAAUGUUAAUUCUAUCUUCAAGAAGGGCAAGAAGAUGCAUCUGGAGAACUACAGGCCAGUCAGCCUCACCUCAGUCCCCUAGAAAGGUGGUGGAUGUGGCAAAGGUGGCCAACAGCUUCCUGGUCUGCAUGAGAGUGAGCAUUGGCCAGCAAGUUGAGGCAAAUGGCCCUUCCCCGUACUCGGCAUUGGUUAAGACCACAUCUGGUGUCCUAUUCCCAUCCUGGGCACCCCAAAAGCCACAUGGACAUAGUAAAGCAAGCUCAGUGAAGGGCCACAAAGAUGACUAAGGGAUUGCAGCAUUUGACAGAAAAAAAGAAGUUGAGAGAGUUGGGAAUGUUCAGCAUGGAGAGAAAGCUCAGAAGAGAUCUUACCAAUAUCUGUAAAUACCUGAUGGGUGGAGAGAGAGAGCAGACCAUUCUCUGUAGGGCCCAGUGACAGGAGAAGAGGUAAUGGGCACAAAUUAAAAUACAGGAAAUUCCAUUUAAACAUGAGACAGAAUUUUUUAAAGUGAGAGUGAUCAAACCCUGGACCAGGUCGCCCAGAGUUCCCAUCUUUGGAGACACUCUAGUGUAACCGGCUAUAGAUGGCCCAGUUUUAAACAAGCGAGCUGGACUAGGCGAUUUCCAGAGGUCCUUUCCAAUCUCAGCCGUUCUAUGAUUAGCGUGUAAAGGAGAGAGCAGAAAGAAAUAAGGCUUUGUCCCUGUUAUCAUAGUUGUAUCACUUUAAGAAUCUAUUAUUAUCCUUUAAAAGUUACACAAUCUUAAAAAGUAUAUGACCUAUUACAAAAUUUAAAUGGUUACAAAAAAACCCCCAACAAACCACCAACCACUAAGGCACAUUCUGGCAUGUAAGUAUUCUGAUAUAUUGGCUCUGCUUUGAACGUUAAUAAUCAAUGUAAAUUUCUUCAGGGCAAAUAGUAAAAAAUGCUUAAUUAUCUUGUGUCAGUUUUCUACUUAAAGUGUUACUUCUACUUUUACUUUGAGUGAAUCAGUUUAUACAAUAUGCCUAUGACUGUUCUUGCUAGAUAAUGCCAAAUAAGACCACAACAUCUCACAGUACUUCAUGUUAAUAGAUGAUUCAGUUUGUGUUUGUCAGUAAUUUAUGGUAUGAAUUAGUGUCAAGUCUCACAUAUUUAUGCUUUCACAAAGUACUUCACAUUCAUGUGUUGUUAAAGCAAUGCAAAGGACAUUAAACGAUUGAGUUUAAUUUUUCAUUUUACACUGUACAGUCAUGAACUAUUCUUCAUCAGAAAAAGAAAGAAAAACGUUUUGUAAAGCAAUGUAUGAAUCUUCAUUAAGUCUAUCAUUUUACUAUAAUAGUGGCUAAAAAUAACUAAAAUUGGGACUGCUGUGUACUACAGAUUUAAAUACAAGUAGAAGCAUAUUUUAAUACUUGAAGGUGAGUCGUUUAAGCUGACAAAAUAAAAAAAAGCAAGUAUGAGAAUACCAGUAUAUUCAUCAGUUUAGCACAUACGGUGGGUGCACAAGCUGAUUUGAUGUAUGUCAUUUCUACUGUUGCUAAAAUAUCUAGGCUCACAGUGUCCGUGGUGGGUAAUUUCAUGUUGCUUCUGUAACAAUGUGUAAAUCAAGCGCCAAACAUUUAUGAAUAUGUAAUAUACAACAUGGGUUAUCAUUAUAUUGGUUGACGAAUGUCUGUUAAGAGUACCUGCCUUGCUGCAGCCUAAUAUUUGUCAUAGGGCAUACAGAGUAAAAACUGUUUAUUUUUAAUGUUGUGUUUAUUUAACAGCUUAUUUUCCUAUUUAUUCUAAUACGUAAAUAAAGACACCUAACUCAGCUCUUACAAAAGGCAAUAAAAAAUCCUAGCAAGGCCACUGCCAUGAUUUACUAGAAUGUUCUCUUAAUGCUGUUUACAGGUUAUUUCCAUAUUCUAGAGUAUAUAAAGCCUUUGGUUCACUAAAGUUUGUUUGUUUUGUUGGGUUUUUUUUUUUUUGGUUUUUUUUUAAAGGCAGUAGGUUAUUUUAAUGGCUUAUGCACUAUUCUGUGUGUUUAUUGGACAUUAAUUUUACUAUGCACACUUAGAAGAAGUCUGGACUCCAUAAAAUACGUCAAGUGUCAAACUGUUUCUGUUAAGUAGGAGAACAUGGGCUUCACAGAAGUAGUUCGCACAUUAUCUUCAGGCUGUAGAACUCCAUGCCUGGGUUUUUCUAUAAGGACCUCUGCAGCGGAUUGGUAUGAAACUGGUGGAUUAAUGGAUUAGUUGUUAUUCUCUCCAUCUGACCUUGCUGUGUGGAGGUGUCUUAUGAGAUUCAGAAGUUUGACAGUUGUGUAAGCUACCAGAAGCUCAUUAGUGUUUAGAUAAAGGAAGAGUACUUUACUGUAAGGUCAGUUUUGGGGACGGCUAGUUUACAAGGUUUCCUGUGACUCUGGUUUAGUUGAAAAGCCAUAUACUAUCAUGUUAGUAUUUUAUCUAGUAAGUUUUUUGAAAUAGUAUGUGGCCACCAAUAAGGUGUGUUGAUGUAAUUAUCUCAGUGUAUGUUUAUAACUUUGUAUUUGUUUUAGCAUUUAUUUACUUGUAGUGGCAUAAAAUGGCCUGUUGUGUGAAGACAGGCAUUGAUAGCAUUUAUAUUAACAGAGUAUGAAAGAAUCUGUGGCUUGAUUCUGCUUUAACACAUUGCCGACAACAUUUGUAUUGGCUUGAACAGUGGCAAAUGGCAAUUUAACAAGGGUUCCUAUGCUAUCCCAAGUAGAGUUGCCCUUCAGGAUUGCAAACGUGUGUUUGGAUCGGGAAUGGGAAUAUAGCAGUAAAUGUUGAAAUCUAGUAGGUUUCUUUCAAAUGGCUCAGCCAGAAUAAUCAAACUGGGUACUUACUUUAGAGAUUUUAGAAAUUACUAGUAAAUAUCUAAAGCCAUUAUUCUUUUUUUUCUCCCAAUCAGAGAUAGUGUUAUUUUUUCUCCACCAAAUUUUCCGUGGAAAGGUUUAUCUUGUCUUCAGAAUUAGAACAAAAUUUUACUUGAGACAGCUAGCUUUAAGUGGACUUACAACCCCUAAAAUAGCAGCUUUAAAAUGAGGCUUGUUGUAGCUUAUCCAUAGCAUUGUAAAUGCAGUUCUGUCCUAACUAAAUUACAAAUAAGGUUAAGGCAAGAGAACUCAUGAGUGUACGUAUUGGCUCCGAUUCAGCAUAAGGGUUUUGCUGAGCUAAGAGGACAAAUAUUGUUUGGAUUUUUUCCAACAGGAUAUCAGUCACACAAUAAAAUGGCCUUGUAAUUUAAGCUUGUAUGCUACAGAAAGCUAGAAUUUCAUGCUGUUGUGGCAAAUAAUUAAUUUUCACCAUUCUUUUUCAGAUGUUAGAAACAUAAAAUCUUAACACUUUGUUGUAGCUUAAACAGCAUUCUGUAGUCUUUUAUUAAGUUCUCUCCUGGAUUGCCCUGCUCAUGAAACUUCACAGCAGAUCAAGUUGCAGAAUCUCAAAUUGCUGGCUAGAAAUAAUCUAAGGUCUUGCAUCUUGAUGUCCAUGCUGCUAAAAUAAUAUGAGACUCAACCUCAGCAUAUUUUGUCCCCUUGUUUUUGCAAAACUUCAGGUUGUAAGAUUUCAUAGAACACUUCAAAAUCCUGGCUGUUGCGUCCUUCUAGGAUUCACAACCUUUCCUCCUCUCCAUCUGCCAGUCAUAAAUAGAGUGCCACGUUCAACCUCACUGUGAAGGAUUACAUCUCCUAUGAGCUUUUACUGGUUUUGAAAAUUACUGUGUAGGUGCUGUGUAAAGUAGCAUGACUUUCCAGUAAUUGACAUUGGAUCUUCACACAGAUGUUUCAGGGUUGAAAGUCUACAAGCAGUAAAGUGGGCCAAAAGAAGUCCUAAAAGAGCAUAUCAUGAGUAAGAAGUCAUUAUUAUUUGUAGACAGCAUUGCAUUCUUAGGAAGUAGCCCAGUUAAUGUAACAUAAUGCAACUUCACUGCUGGGAGUUCUGUUACUGGUUUGGUGUGGAACCAACGCUUCACCCGAACCUAAUAACUGCAUCAAAUUCUAAUAAUGUCCUUGCUGGUGUAAUGUUUAAUUAUAAAAAUAAUUUCUUAAUUUAUGAUUUUGAAAACCAAAGUGAAGAACAGCCAGUAGUCCUGAUACAAUUUUCAUUGGGAGAUUUUUAUGAGUAAAUAUGGCAGAUUUCACACUUCAUUGGUGUGGUCAGAAGGUGAGGGUGCCAGACUGCUAUCCCCUGGGCAACAUCAUGAGCUGUGUUUAAACUCAGUUACCAAAAGGAAAUCUGAGCACCCUGAUCAAGUAAAGCAUAUAAACACUUGAUUAACUUGAAAUGUGUUAGGGAGAUCAUUGAUAAAGCAGGGCUAAAGCAGUCACGCUUUCCUGGAUUUGAGGCCCAGGAUCUAAAGCCUAUUCAGUUAGCAUAGCCUCCAUUUCAUAGAGAACAUUAUAUCCAUGUUUUUACAUGUGUAGCUCAUUUUAUAAUGACGUAUUAGACAAUUCUCUAAAACCGUAGUUAAGUGAGAGUAAAUUUUUGCAAAAUGUGAAGGCUUAUUCUUAAUAUCUGGACUUAAAUGUUUUCUUGGUCUAACUUAGUGACUUAAGCAGGACAAUUGCAAAUACUUAAUUCAAAUUUGAAUUUACAGAAAGCUGGCAGAGUGGGUGAUUUGAAAAGCAGUAUACUUGAAGUUCUUAAUACCAAAAUCUAUUGAGCUGUGCUGUGACCAGAUGCAAGGGUGUAUUCAUUUACGUUUAUGAAAUCAUUACAGAGGACUCAGGCUUUAGUUUCUUUUACUGAAGUUGCAACUGAAAUGAUUUCAAUAGUAUUAGCGCUAAACAAUGAUAAGUGGUUAGCCCAGGUAGAUAAAUAUCAUAAUAGGUGGUUUUGUGUAUAGGUUCUGGGGAAGAUGGGUCUCUGACUUUCACAUGUAAUUAAUUUCAAUACGCAAGGUUGUGUGUUUUGGGAUCAAGGUAACAAGUUGCUAAUAAGUAACCCAGCAAUGCCAAAAUGUUAAUAGAUGCUAGAAUGUUUUCUCUGUAACUAGUGUGACUAAAAUAGAAAAUCCCUACAAGUUUUAUUAUACAAUGCCACUGUAUAUGGUUGUACAGGUAUGAAACCCAUAAUGUAUAGGUUCUUUUUAUUAAGAUGUUGAUCGGGAUAAGAAGAAAGCUUUUCAAUUUCCCCUUUAUACUGACGUGUGUGCGUUCAUCUUUAAAUAACAGUUACUGAAAGCUGUGUAGAAUAUUUAUCAGUACCCAGGAGGAAUGCAAGAUGACUCUCUCAUGCCUGAAUUAAAGAGCCCUUCAAAGAUACACACUUCAGCCUUCGCUAACAAAACUGUGAUCAAGUUAUAGGGGAUGGGUCCCAGGAAUUCCUGUGUUGUUCUUGCUAAGCAAAUGCACUGGUUUAAAGGGCUAACAUGAGUGGGUUUAUUUCUGCUGUUCACAAGUGUUCUCUCUCUCUGUUAGGAUGUCCGUUCAGUUGAGCAUAGCUGACAGCACGUGGAGUUAGGCAAUGGCAAAUGUAUAAAAGGACAUGUUGGAAAAAAAGAUUUCCAUACCAGGUAUAACUGCCAGGGAUGUGGGACACAAGGAUGAAAGGCAGAUGGCAACUGAGGCUGCAGCUGUGAAUGGGCAGAAUAUGGUUACUCACCUGAAUACCCAUGGGAGGAAGGAGUAGAAAUCACUUAGUCACAUUUCUGCAAAAUAACAUUUUGCAGUGUUAAUACCAAAAGCAUUAUGAACGCUGCCUGCAGAAGAUAAAGUUCAAGAUGGUGGAACAGUAGGCUGGUACUUACAUCAUCUGGGCUCAGCCUGCUGUAAGUCCACACCUUCUUGUCAAAGUAGAUAAAUGGAUGGCUUUUGCUAGGCUGGAACUGCUGCACAACUCUGCUCCUGGAAUGGACUGCCCUGAUCCCAGUGCUGAGUGUGAGUGCUGUUUCUAGAAUGCUCUCCAGCGAUGGGUAUCUGUAAGAAUGUUGGAGGGAUAUUUCUACGUUACCUGUCAUGUUGGCCCAGGAGUCCUCCAGUGACAUAAAUGAUGUGGAAAGCCUGUUUCAAAGAAGAUGUUCCAAAACCAGAGCUGGCAGCUGCAAAGACCAAGCUUGCAAAACUGGUGGUGUCCUUUAUGGCCACACAUACCAUCUCCAGAAGACUAUGCUGUGAAUAGUUGUUUCCCUCUUGGGAUGAUGGGAGGAGGAAGACACACUCCACCUCAGCUUUUCAAGGCAUAGGAACACGUGGCGUAGCAUGGAAAAACCUCAGCUGGAUGUCUCUGGCAUUGCAGUUCAAGAGGAUGUGGACCAGUUGGAAAGAGCCCAAGGAGGAGCAUUGAGCAUAAUUAGGGGUCUUGGAUAUGACCAAGGAGGACCAUUUCCAGAUCUCUCCACUGGCUCUGGGUAACCCAGAUAUCGGAGUAAACAAUAAACUGACCCAACCAGCAGACAGCCCCAUGGGAAGCAGAGGUUUGGCAAAGACUGACUGAUGUAGCAUGAAAACAACAGAACGCUUUUUAAAUGAAUAAAGUAAACAACAUUGUGAAA